rnacentral:rRNA from 1 species
GACGAACGCUGGCGGCGUGCUUAACACAUGCAAGUCGAACGGAAAGGCCCUGCUCUUGUGGUGUGCUCGUGUGGCGAACGGGUGUGUAACACGAGUGUAACCUGCCCUUGACUUUGGUAUAACUUCAGGAAACUGGGGCUAAUACCGGAUAGGAGCCCCUGCUGCAGGGUGGGGGUGGGAAAGUUUCGGCGGUUGGGGAUGGACUCGCGGGUUAUCAGUUUGUUGGUGGGGUAGUGGCUUACCAAGGCUUUGACGGGUCGCCGGCCUGAGAGGGUGACGGGCCACAUUGGGACUGAGGAAGGGCCAAGACUCUAAGGGGAGGAAGCGGGGGGAAUUAUGGCACAAUGGGCGGAGGCCUGAGGAAGCAACGCCGGGUGCGGAAUGACGGCCUUGGGGUUGAAAACCGCUUUCGCCUGUGACGAGGCGUGUGUGACGGUAAUGGGUAAAGAAGCACCGGCUAACUACGUG